GAUGAACGCUGGCUACAGGCUUAACACAUGCAAGUCGAGGGGAAACGACGGGGAAGCUUGCUUCCCCGGGCGUCGACCGGCGCACGGGUGAGUAACGCGUAUCCAACCUGCCUCUGACUGAGGGAUAACCCGUCGAAAGUCGGCCUAAUACCUCAUGGUAUCGUCUGCGGGCAUCCAACGACGAUUAAAGAUUUCAUCGGUCAGGGAUGGGGAUGCGUCUGAUUAGCUUGUUGGCGGGGUAACGGCCCACCAAGGCUACGAUCAGUAGGGGUUCUGAGAGGAAGGUCCCCCACAUUGGAACUGAGACACGGUCCAAACUCCUACGGGAGGCAGCAGUGAGGAAUAUUGGUCAAUGGGCGAGAGCCUGAACCAGCCAAGUAGCGUGCAGGAAGACGGCCCUAUGGGUUGUAAACUGCUUUUAGGCGGGGAUAAAGUGAGGGACGGGUCCCUCAUUGCAGGUACCGCAUGAAUAAGGACCGGCUAAUUCCGUG
rnacentral:rRNA from 1 species